GUGUGAAGUUCUGUAGGUAGCUGGAGAUUCAGGUCUAGAACUUAGAAGUAACCUUUUAGAAUUUUAAAUUCCUAAGGAUUAGACAAUUCUGGAAAUCUAUGGUUUUUCUCAUUAGAUAUUGAAUUUUCCAUCUCUGUAUAUUAUCAAGCAUCAGUGCUUGAGUGGAUAUUCAUCCUAUGAUUAGGUAUUCAUAAGAAGAUGACCUCUGUGAUCUUUCCCAGCUCUUAAAUUCCUUUACUCUGUGAUAUUCUUAGGGUCCGUUUGAUUGAGAAGUCAAGAAGAAUAGUGCAUCAUCUACCAGAUGUCACCCAGAACUUUGUGUCACUUGGGUACACAUUGCGAGGCUUCAGGUGAUGUCUCAAGUGUGGGGAUGUUUGGCAUCAGUCUUCCUGACAUUCUGUUGCCCUAGUAACAAAAUAUAGGAGAAGCCCUGGUUGAGCUCUGCAUAGCCACCUACAUCCUGUUUCUUUUUCAAUAGAACACAGGUAGGUGGGGAAGAGCCCCAGGCUUCCCUUUGUUAUGUUGCCUAGGCAAUGGUCACAGACUUCUUCAUGUUCUGGAACUAAGAUAGCAGGAGGCAGGCAGGCAGGCACCCAUGGGAACUCCACACGCCCACCCGAAUCUUCCUGCCUAGGAAAUAAAACAUACCAACAGCAAGAGCUUGGACAUUUGAUAUCUGUUACUUUUCUUCCUGUUCAUGGAACCUGAUGAAGGUCUCAAGGUUGGCGAAAUCAAUACAAAGUUUUUCUUUGGAAGUGGGAGAGUGAAAGGAAGAAGAGAUGGUAAAGGAAGAGGAGGCAAAUGAGGCAAAGGAAGAGAGUAUGAAUUAAAGAGGAGGAAAAGAAGGAAGAAAUAGGAAUAAGGAAGGAGAGAAGAAAAGGAUAAAGAGAAAACAAAAGAAACAAAGAAGGAAGGAAGCAAGGAUGAAGAGGAAAUGGAAAGAUGAAGAGAAGAGAAAGAAUUAAGAGGAGAGGAAGGGAGGAAGAAAAGAAAGAAGGAAGAAACAAAGGAACAAAGGAGGGAGGAAGAAGAAAAGAGAUGGAAAAACAUCAUGAAUAAAUUGGUCUGAUAUUUCUGGGCA
rnacentral:lncRNA from 1 species